UACGUAGGGCGCAAGCGUUGUCCGGAAUUAUUGGGCGUAACGAGUGCGUAGGCGGUCAGUGGCGUCUGCUGUGAAAUCCCGGGGCUCAACCCCGGGCUUGCAGUGGAUACGGGCUGGCUGGAGGCAGGCAGGGGAGAACGGAAUUCCCGGUGUAGCGGUGAAAUGCGCAGAUAUCGGGAGGAACACCGGUGGCGAAGGCGGUUCUCUGGGCCUGUACUGACGCUGAGGAGCGAAAGCGUGGGGAGCGAACAGG
rnacentral:rRNA from 1 species